UACACGACCGUACCGCAAACCGACACUGGUGCGCGAGAUGAGUAUUCUAAGGCGCUUGAGAGAACCCAGGAGAAGGAACUCGGCAAAUUGACACCGUAACUUCGGAAGAAGGUGUGCCUUUAGUAGGUGAACCUGUACAAGGGGAGCCCAAUGAGGUUGCAAAAAAUCGGUGGCUGCGACUGUUUAAUAAAAACACAGCACUCUGCAAACACGAAAGUGGACGUAUAGGGUGUGACGCCUGCCCGGUGCUGGAAGAUUAAAUGAUGGGGUGCAAGCUCUUGAUUGAAGUCCCAGUAAACGGCGGCCGUAACAAUAACGGUCCUAAGGUAGCGAAAUUCCUUGUCGGGUAAGUUCCGACCUGCACGAAUGGCGUAACGAUGGCCACACUGUCUCCUCCUGAGACUCAGCGAAGUUGAAAUGUUUGUGAUGAUGCAAUCUCCCCGCGGAAAGACGGAAAGACCCCAUGAACCUUUACUGUAGCUUUGUAUUGGACUUUGAACAGAUCUGUGUAGGAUAGGUGGGAGGCUUUGAAGUGUGGUCGCUAGAUCGCAUGGAGCCAACGUUGAAAUACCACCCUGGUGUGUUUGAGGUUCUAACCUAGGCCCGUAAUCCGGGUCGGGGACAGUGCAUGGUAGGCAGUUUGACUGGGGCGGUCUCCUCCCAAAGCGUAACGGAGGAGUUCGAAGGUACGCUAGGUACGGUCGGACAUCGUGCUAAUAGUGCAAUGGCAUAAGCGUGCUUAACUGCGAGACUGACAAGUCGAGCAGAUGCGAAAGCAGGACAUAGUGAUCCGGUGGUUCUGUAUGGAAGGGCCAUCGCUCAACGGAUAAAAGGUACUCUGGGGAUAACAGGCUGAUACCGCCCAAGAGUUCAUAUCGACGGCGGUGUUUGGCACCUCGAUGUCGGCUCAUCUCAUCCUGGGGCUGUAGCCGGUCCCAAGGGUAUGGCUGUUCGCCAUUUAAAGAGGUACGUGAGCUGGGUUUAAAACGUCGUGAGACAGUUUGGUCCCUAUCUUCCGUGGGCGCUGCAGAUUUGAGGAAGCCUGCUCCUAGUACGAGAGGACCGGAGUGGACACACCUCUGGUGUAUCGGUUGUCACGCCAGUGGCAUUGCCGAGUAGCUAUGUGUGGAAGAGAUAACCGCUGAAAGCAUCUAAGCGGGAAACUCGUUUCAAGAUGAGAUCUGCCGGGGCCUUGAGCCCCCUAAAGAGUCGUUCAAGACCAGGACGUUGAUAGGUCGGGUGUGGAAGCGCAGUAAUGCGUUAAGCUAACCGAUACUAAUUGCUCGUGCGGCUUGACC
rnacentral:rRNA from 1 species